UUUCGCAAUGCCCGAAAGGGUGACAAUGCGACGCCGCGUGAGCGAUGAAGGCCUUCGGGUUGUAAAGCUCUGUCAGCUCGGAUGAAAGCAAUCGGGCUAAUAUCCCGCUUGUCUGACGGUACGAGCAGAGGAAGCCACGGCUAACUCCGUGCCAGCAGCCGCGGUAAUACGGAGGUGGCAAGCGUUGUUCGGAUUUACUGGGUGUAAAGGGCAUGUAGGCGUCCCCUUAAGUCGGGUGUGAAAUCCCUUGGCUCAACCAAGGAACUGCAUUCGAUACUGGGGGGAUUGAGUACAAAAGAGGUAAGCGGAAUUCCGGAAGUAAGGGUGAAAUCUGUAGAUAUCCGGAAGAACACCAUUAGCGAAGGCGGCUUACUGGUCUGAUACUGACGCUGAAAUGAGAAAGCUAGGGGAUCAAACAGGAUUAGAUACCCUGGUAGUCCUAGCCGUAAACGAUGGGCACUAAGUAGAGGGGUUUU
rnacentral:rRNA from 1 species